GGCAAGGUGACCGAGUGGUUAUGGUGGCGGCCUGCUAAGCCGUUGGGUUCUGCCCGCGUGAGUUCGAAUCUCAUCCUUGUCG